ensembl:misc_RNA Metazoa_SRP Metazoan signal recognition particle RNA
GCUGGGCAUGGUGGUGCGUGCCUGUAAUCCCAGCUACUUGGGAAGCUGAGGCAGGAGAAUCACUUGAACCUAGGAGGCAGAGGUUGCAGUGAGCUGAGAUGGUGCCACUGCACUCCAGCCUAGGCAACAUAGUGAGACUCUGUCUAAA